GAUAAACUGGCUUUCGUAGUUCAGAUUCUGAAGGAGGUGUUUGACCUGUUUGAGAAGAAUCGCAGCUCUGCACCAUGGGAGGAGAACACAGUGGAGAACUUUCUCAAUAUAGUCAACAAACAGGCUGAGAAGCUUCACUCCUGUGUUGGAAGCCACAGCAAUACGACACAGCUGACGCAUUUCAAGGGGCUCUCAAAUGAAACCCUAAAGGACAAUGGUUACAGUGCUGAAGCCUGGGAGGAGAUCAGGAACAUAACACAAGCCCAUCUGAG